UCUCCGUUGGUGAACCAGCGGAGGGAUCAUUACCGAAGUUACCCUUCAAAAACCCUUUGUGAACCUUACCUCUUGCCGCGUUGCCUCGGCGGGAGGCGGUGGGACGUCGCGCUGGCGCCUCCGGGCCGUGCCGCCGCCCCUCCGUCCCCGCCGGCAGCCCCAAAACUCUAUUUGCAUAGCGGACUGUAUGUUCUGAUUUAUAAAAAAAAACAAGUUAAAACUUUCAACAACGGAUCUCUUGGUUCUG
rnacentral:misc_RNA from 1 species